rnacentral:rRNA from 1 species
ACCGGCGAGUUACGUUUGUAUGCGAGGUUAAAGUGAAAAGCUGGAGCCGUAGCGAAAGCGAGUCUGAAUAGGGCGCUUUAGUUAGUAGUAGUAGACGCGAAACCGAGUGAUCUACCCAUGGGCAGGUUGAAGCUGUAGUAACAUACAGUGGAGGACCGAACCAGUUGACGUUGAAAAGUCUUUGGAUGACCUGUGGGUAGGGGUGAAAGGCCAAUCAAACUCGGAAAUAGCUCGUACUCCCCGAAAUGCAUUUAGGUGCAGCGUUGAGUAAAAGUUUUAUAGAGGUAGAGCUACUGAUUGGAUGCGGGGGCUUCACCGCCUACCAAUUCCUGACAAACUCCGAAUGCUAUAAAAUGUUUCUCAGCAGUGAGGGCAUGGGUGCUAAGGUCCAUGUCCGAGAGGGAAAGAACCCAGACCAUCAGCUAAGGUCCCCAAAUAUAUGUUAAGUUGAACUAACGAAGUGAAAUUGCUUAGACAGCUAGGAUGUUGGCUUGGAAGCAGCCAUUCAUUUAAAGAGUGCGUAACAGCUCACUAGUCGAGCGAUUUUGCAUGGAUAAUAAUCGGGCAUAAACAUAUUACCGAAGCUAUGGAUUUGUAUUAUAUACAAGUGGUAGGGGAGCAUUGUAACCUGCGUAGAAGGUGUACUGUAAGGUAUGCUGGAGUGGUUACAAAAGAAAAUGUAGGCAUAAGUAACGAUAAUGGGGGCGAGAAACCCCCACACCGAAAGACUAAGGUUUCCUCAGCGAUGCUAAUCAGCUGAGGGUUAGUCGGGUCCUAAGGCGAAUCCGAAGGGAGUAGUCGAUGGAUAACAGGUUAAUAUUCCUGUACUUCUUAUAAUUGCGAUGGGGUGACGGAGUAUUGAAAGCACCGCGAACUGACGGAAUAGUUCGUUGAAAACUGUAUCUAUAAGAUCUGUAGGCAAAUCCGCAGAUUUUGGAGAAGGUUGAUAGUACUACAAAGCUUCGGCUGCGUAGAUAGUGUGCCUAAAAGCUUCCAAGAAAAACCUCUAAGCUUCAGAUUAUAAGAACCCGUACCGUAAACCGACACAGGUAGUUGGGAUGAGAAUUCUAAGGUGCUCGAGAGAUUCAUGGCUAAGGAACUAGGCAAAAUAGACCCGUAACUUCGGGAGAAGGGUCGCCCUGCUUUACAGCAGGGCCGCAGUGAAAAGGUCCAGGCGACUGUUUAUCAAAAACACAGGGCUUUGCUAAAUUGAAAGAUGAUGUAUAAGGCCUGACACCUGCCCGGUGCUGGAAGGUUAAGAGGAGAGGUUA